UGGGAUUACAAGUGUGCACAACUUUCC
rnacentral:piRNA from 1 species